UUCGAACUGCUGCGUUGGUGUUUGCCCUUUCCAGUGUUCUGAUCUGACUCCCUUUUCGACAUGGGAGUGGUGUCGCGAAGGUGACGUAUACCGGCCCUGUAGCCGGAAAUGAAACCCCGCUUUCCUCUCCCUUCUGGUUCUUCCAGGUCGAAGACUGAGGGCUCCACGGCCUGGCGGUUCACCC
rfam:Synechococcus sp. Tous Synechococcus-sp-Tous-C2, whole genome shotgun sequence.